CUGUUGCUUCGGCGGGUAGGGUCUCCGCGACCCUCCCGGCCUCCCGCCUCCGGGCGGGUCGGCGCCCGCCGGAGGAUAACCAAACUCUGAUUUAACGACGUUUCUUCUGAGUGGUACAAGCAAAUAAUCAAAACUUUUAACAACGGAUCUCUUGGUUCUGGCAUCGAUGAAGAACGCAGCGAAAUGCGAUAAGUAAUGUGAAUUGCAGAAUUCAGUGAAUCAUCGAAUCUUUGAACGCACAUUGCGCCCGCCAGCAUUCUGGCGGGCAUGCCUGUUCGAGCGUCAUUUCAACCCUCAAGCUCUGCUUGGUGUUGGGGCCCUACAGCUGAUGUAGGCCCUCAAAGGUAGUGGCGGACCCUCUCGGAGCCUCCUUUGCGUAGUAACUUUACGUCUCGCACUGGGAUCCGGAGGGACUCUUGCCGUAAAACCCCCAAUUUUCCAAAGGUUGACCUCGGAUCAGGUAGGAAUACCCGCUGA
rnacentral:rRNA from 1 species